rnacentral:misc_RNA from 1 species
GAUGAAGAACGUAGCGAAAUGCGAAACGUAAUGUGAAUUGCAGAAUUCAGUGAAUCAUCGAAUCUUUGAACGCAUAUUGCGCUCUCUGGUAUUCCGGAGAGCAUGCUUGUUUGAGUAUCAGUAAACACCUCAACUUCCAUAUCUUUUUUGAAAUGGGAGUUGGACUUGAGUGAUCCCAACGCUUUUCCUCACCGAAAAGUGGCGGGUUACUUGAAAUGCAGGUGCAGCUGAACUUUUCUCUGAGCUAUAAGCAUAUCUAUUUAGUCUGCCUAAAAAACAGAUUAUUACCUUUGCUGCAGCUAACAUAAAGGAGAUUAGUUCUUGUGCUGACUGAUGCAGGAUUCACAAAGACGGCUUCGGCCGACUUUGUAAACUCGAUCUCAAAUCAAGUAAGACUACCCGCUGAACUUAAGCAUAUCAAUAAGCGGAGGA